rfam:Gregarina niphandrodes unplaced genomic scaffold scaffold00018, whole genome shotgun sequence.
GGCAGCUUGCCCGAGUGGUUAAGGGGGUGGACUUGAAAUCCACUGGGCUUUGCCCGCGUUGGUUCAAAUCCAGCAGCUGUCG